CGACGCUUUACAAAGCGUCGUCGGAGGCCCAUUCUUCCUUACAAAUCCCUAACCCCCUCCCCUUCUCUCUCUGUCGCUCGCUUUCAAAAGCGAUCCCUAACCCCUCCAGCCGCCGCACCCCCCUCCCCUCCUCUCUUCGUUGCUCUUUCUCGAUCUCCAGAUUCAAGAAGCCAUCUCCUUCUCCGACCAAGUCCUCCUCUUCCUCUAAUCCCCCUC
rnacentral:lncRNA from 1 species